GACGGAGGAUGCAAGUGUUAUCCGGAAUCACUGGGCGUAAAGCGUCUGUAGGUGGUUUAAAAAGUCUACUGUUAAAGCUUGAAGCUUAACUUCAAAAAUGCCGUAGAAACUUUUAAACUUGAGUAUGGUAGGGGUAGAGGGAAUUUCCAGUGGAGCGGUGAAAUGCGUAGAGAUCCGGAAGAACACCGGUGGCGAAGGCGGUCUGCUGGGCAGUAGCUGACACUGAGGCGCGACAGCGUGGGGAGCAAACAGG
rnacentral:rRNA from 1 species